rnacentral:rRNA from 1 species
ACGGGAGGCAGCAGUGGGGAAUAUUGGACAAUGGGGGAAACCCUGAUCCAGCGACGCCGCGUGAGUGAAGAAGUAUUUCGGUAUGUAAAGCUCUAUCAGCAAGAAAGAAAAUGACGGUACUUGACUAAGAAGCCCCGGCUAACUACGUGCCAGCAGCCGCGGUAAUACGUAGGGGGCAAGCGUUAUCCGGAUUUACUGGGUGUAAAGGGAGCGUAGACGGCGAUGCAAGUCUGAAGUGAAAGCCCGGGGCUCAACCCCGGAACUGCUUUGGAAACUGUAUAGCUAGAGUGCAGGAGAGGUAUGUGGAAUUCCUAGUGUAGCGGUGAAAUGCGUAGAUAUUAGGAGGAACACCGGUGGCGAAGGCGGCCUGCUGGACUGUAACUGACGUUGAGGCUCGAAAGCGUGGGGAGCAAACAGGAUUAGAUACCCUGGUA